CAUUUUGUAACUAAAUACUUAAAGUAUAGGUCUUUUAAACCUACAAUAGUAAGUUAAAGUCUACUCAAAAUGG
rnacentral:tRNA from 2 species